rnacentral:rRNA from 1 species
UACGGAGGGUGCGAGCGUUGUCCGGAAUCACUGGGCGUAAAGGGCGCGUAGGCGGCCUGAUAAGUAGGGGGUGAAAUCCUGCGGCUUAACCGCAGGGCUGCCUUCUAAACUGUCAGGCUCGAGCACAGUAGAGGCAGGUGGAAUUCCCGGUGUAGCGGUGGAAUGCGUAGAGAUCGGGAAGAACAUCAGUGGCGAAGGCGGCCUGCUGGGCAGUAGCUGACGCUGAGGCGCGACAGCGUGGGGAGCAAACAGG